GACGGGGGCCCGGCACAAGCGGAGGAGCAUGUGGUUUAAUUUCGAUGAUACGCGAGGAACCUUACCUGGGCUUAAAUGCUUAAUGACGUACUGGGAAACUGGCAUUUCUUCGGACAUUUUGCAAGGUGCUGCAUGGUUGUCGUCAGCUCGUGCCGUGAGGUGUCGGGUUAAGUCCCAUAACGAGCGCAACCCCUAUUGUUAGUUGCCAUCAGGUCAUGCUGGGGACUCUAACAAAACUGCCCGCGUAAGCGUGGAGGAAGGUGGGGAUGACGUCAAAUCAGCACGGCCCUUACGUCCAGGGCUACACACGUGCUACAAUGGCCGGUACAGAGGGCAGCCACUUGGUGACAAGGAGCAAAUCUCAAAAGCCGGUCUCAGUUCGGAUCGGAGUCUGCAACUCGACUCCGUGAAGUUGGAUUCGCUAGUAAUCGUAGAUCAGCAAUGCUACGGUGAAUACGUUCCCGGGCCUC
rnacentral:rRNA from 1 species